ACAUUGUUUAACAAAGAAAGUUUGAGGUGAGUUAAUAAUUUUUUCUUGAAAGAUGGUCUCCUUAACUCUUGUUCCAUGGUAACAUUCUCUUUUCAUUUUUUUAAUCCUUUAUUUUCUCCAGACUUUACAGAGUUUUUGAGUUGUUGCUGAUCUUUGAAUACCUCCUCAAGUGAUAGUAGUGCAAGAAUAAAAUUCUAACCACUCAUGCUAAAGGAAUAAUGAUUUUUAUAGCCAUCAUAAGUUGCACACUUAUCAUACUGCCAGGGUCUU
rnacentral:lncRNA from 1 species